rnacentral:rRNA from 1 species
UACGAAGGGGGCUAGCGUUGUUCGGAAUUACUGGGCGUAAAGCGCGCGUAGGUGGUUUGUUAAGUUGAAUGUGAAAGCCCCGGGCUCAACCUGGGAACUGCAUCCAAAACUGGCAAGCUAGAGUACGGUAGAGGGUGGUGGAAUUUCCUGUGUAGCGGUGAAAUGCGUAGAUAUAGGAAGGAACACCAGUGGCGAAGGCGACCACCUGGACUGAUACUGACACUGAGGUGCGAAAGCGUGGGGAGCAAACAGG